UUUUGCAAAAUGAAACUUUAGCUAAGGAUUGUACAACUGCUCUCACGAAGGAAUUGGAUACUUCACAAGAUCCAGCUGUUAGAAACAACAUCAGGAUUGUCCUUUUCGACCUUGUGUGUUAGGCAUACGAAUGAUGUCGACCGUUACAUACCAAAUAUUGUUAAAUGUUUGAACAACCUAUGAUACGUAACAAACUUUAAUCAUGAUGACACAUUGGCUCUGCAGUAUACAACCGGUUUCAGCAAACGAAAAAAGAGAAAGAAUUGUUUUCAUUGAGAGGAGAGGAAAAGAUAGGUAAACGAAUGAUUAUCUACAAGUUCUUGCUCGAUCACAGGACGGGGGAGCAGCGUUCUAAUUUGAUUGAAAAUCGUGUCAAAAGACAUGUUGGUGGUCUGAUACAAAAGAAUAUUUCAUCAGAGUUAUCGUUGGCACCAGCCGACGUGGGCGAGCAAAAUUGUUUCGCAAAUCUCAAGAGAACGGUUGCAACGUCAAGCCAGAAAUAUGUCAUCCUCAUAUUUAACUACGACAAGUGCCAUUGUGUUAAUAAAGCUAAUAUCGACAGUAGCUGCUAAAAGAAAUCUGCAUUGCUUAGCCGAAAGAAAACGUGCUGCUUUUGAAAGACUUACUUGUCUCUCUCUAUAUUUUUCAAAAGAAGACAUAAGUAACUAUAGAUGUUUUGCUAAUGUAUCACCAAACUAACAUUAAUAUAUAAAUGUAUUUAUUUGUACUACUCUUUCACUCUUUCUAUCAACAUUCCUUCUUCGUGUAA